rnacentral:rRNA from 1 species
UGGGGAAUAUUGGACAAUGGGGGCAACCCUGAUCCAGCCAUGCCGCGUGUGUGAAGAAGGCCUUUUGGUUGUAAAGCACUUUAAGCAGGGAGGAGAGGCUAAUGGUUAAUACCCAUUAGAUUAGACGUUACCUGCAGAAUAAGCACCGGCUAACUCUGUGCCAGCAGCCGCGGUAAUACAGAGGGUGCGAGCGUUAAUCGGAAUUACUGGGCGUAAAGCGAGUGUAGGUGGCUCAUUAAGUCACAUGUGAAAUCCCCGGGCUUAACCUGGGAACUGCAUGUGAUACUGGUGGUGCUAGAAUAUGUGAGAGGGAAGUAGAAUUCCAGGUGUAGCGGUGAAAUGCGUAGAGAUCUGGAGGAAUACCGAUGGCGAAGGCAGCUUCCUGGCAUAAUAUUGACACUGAGAUUCGAAAGCGUGGGUAGCAAAACAGGAUUAGAUACCCUGGUAGUCCACGCCGUAAACGAUGUCUACUAGCCGUUGGGGUCCUUGAGACUUUAGUGGCGCAGUUAACGCGAUAAGUAGACCGCCUGGGGGAGUACGGCCGC